rnacentral:rRNA from 1 species
UACGUAGGGGGCGAGCGUUGUCCGAAGUUACUGGGCGUAAAGCGCGCGUAGGCGGUCAUUUAAGUCUGGGGUGAAAGGUUCAGCGCUCAACGUGAACAGUGCCUUGGAUACUGGGUGACUUGAGUUUGGGAGAGGGUAGUGGAAUUCCUGGUGUAGCGGUGAAAUGCGCAGAUAUCAGGAGGAACACCAAUUGCGAAGGCAGCUCGCUGGGACGUUACUGACGCUGAGACGCGAAAGCGUGGGGAGCAAACAGG